CAGCAGCCGCGGUAAUACGGAGGAUGCAAGCGUUAUCCGGAUUUAUUGGGUUUAAAGGGUGCGUAGGCGGUUUGAUAAGUCAGCGGUGAAAUAUUUCAGCUUAACUGAAAGGGUGCCGUUGAUACUGUCAGGCUUGAAUAUGGUUGCUGUGGGUGGAAUGUGUGGUGUAGCGGUGAAAUGCUUAGAUAUUACACAGAACACCGAUUGCGAAGGCAGCUUACUAAGAUACAACUGACGCUGAGGCACGAAAGUGUGGGGAUCAAACAGGAUUAGAUACCCUGGUAGUCCACACUGUAAACGAUGAUAACUGGAUGUUGGUCUGUACAGAUCAGCGUCUGAUGCGAAAGCAUUAAGUUAUCCACCUGGGGAGUACGUCGGCAACGAUGAAACUCAAAGGAAUUGACGG
rnacentral:rRNA from 1 species